CAGUAGCCGCGGGAAUACGGAGGGUGCAAGCGUUAAUCGGAAUUACUGGGCGUAAAGCGCACGCAGGCGGUCUGACAAGUCAGAUGUGAAAUCCCCGGGCUUAACCUGGGAACUUCAUUUGAAACUGUCAGGCUGGAGUCUUGUAGAGGGGGGUGGAAUUCCAGGUGUAGCGGUGAAAUGCGUAGAGAUCUGGAGGAAUACCGGUGGCGAAGGCGGCCCCCUGGACAAAGACUGACGCUCAGGUGCGAAAGCGUGGGGAGCAAACAGGAUUAGAUACCCCGGUAGUCCCUGUCUCUUAUAC
rnacentral:rRNA from 1 species